UAAACUAGGAUUAGAUACCCUAUUAUUUUAAAUGUGAAUUUUUAUACUAAAUUAGUAUUAGUUAAUUUCUUGAAAAUUAAAAAAUUUGGCGGUAUUUUAGUCUUUUCAGAGGAACCUGUCCUGUAAUUGAUGGUCCACGAUAAAAUUUACUUUAUUUAUUAAUUUGCAUAUCGUCGUAGUUUAAGUAUUUUAUUAGAAAUUUAAUAUUUAUAAUUUUUUAUUAGAAAAGAUAUCAGAUCAAGGUGUAGUUUAUAGUAAAGUAGAGAUGGGUUACAAUAAAUUUAUUUAAGGAAAAUUCUUUUUAUAAGAAUUUGAAUUUGGAUUUGAGAGUAAUUUUAAAUAUUUUUUUAAAAUGAUUAAAGCUCUAAAAUAUGUACACAUCGCCCGUCGCUCUUAA
rnacentral:rRNA from 1 species